UUACCUGGAGGUUCAUCUCAUUCACUAUAGUCUUUGUCCUUUUGCUCAGGUUUUGUCUUCCUAACAAUUAAAAACCCUUGACAUUAUAUUAUACAGUAAUUUGUUUGUUUAUUAUUGUUUCUUUGUUAGGAUAUAAACUCUUUGGAAGUCUGUCUUCAUGUUGUUUAUUGCUUUGUCUUCCCUGGUUAUGACAGUGCCUAGGGCAUAGUAGGAACUCCAUGCACGCUAUUUUUAGGAUGAAUCAAUCAAUGGGUACAGUACUUUUCAAGUGCAGUCAUGGAAAGUCACAUUUACCUUGGCAUUUUAAAGACUCUUAGAAGUCUGGCAAUUCUGUUUAACCUUGUUUAAGGCCUUCCUGUUUCACAUAAUUGUUUAAACGUGAUAAACUUUUUCCCCAAUAUAUCACUAGUAAAAGCUUAUACAAUAUUGCUCUGUUGAACCUGAAUUGGGAACUCGGCUUUGUUGUUCUCACUCUUUCUCUGUUUUUUAUGCUAUCCUUAUCAGAUUUUGAGCCAGCUUUGUAUUGUCUCAACUCCAGCUUAAAGGAAUACACUUUUCACAAAGCUGAUAUCACCUGACCUUCAGGCUCUUAUGAGAGGAUCAUUUCUCAAUUCACUCUCAACUAAACAUUCCCCUCUGAAGGUAAUUUGAACUUUAAAAACCCCAACCCCUUAAUCAAAAGAUCCCAGUUGGUUCAUACCAGUUUUAUUAAUCAUUGUUGAAAGCUUGCAAUAUUAGCAAAAAUCAUCUCUUCUCCAUAGACUGGAAUUGUUAGGCUCAACCCUAUGCCUUGAAAUUAACCUUUUUCUGACGUUGAUUCCUGUUGGGUUUUACUUUCAUAUCUGAUACCCACCCUCCUCUCCUGGUUUUGGGUUUAGCUAUUCUAUGGUGGUGUUGACCAUCAUCCUGAGGAGUCCUGCCCUUCUGUGAGGUGUGAGCAAGUUUUCGAGGGAGGAAGAAUUUGAAAGAUUAUCUAAUUGCUAAUGCCAUUUUUCAAGUGAGAAUUAGGGGCUUGGAGAAAUAAAGUGCCUUAUACAGUCA
rnacentral:lncRNA from 1 species